UGAUGCUCAGGAGCUGCUCUUUUCGCCUGUCCUGCUCAUGGCCUUGCUGGGCCGUUUCUGUCCUGGGGUGUCAUGAUUAUGAUUUUUUCCCUUAAAACAUCCAUGACAUUUUGACAUCAUGCCUUUCUCAGCCCAGCAAAACUUAAUGGUCAAUGAACAGCCCUCUAGAAAACGCCACCACUAGCUCUGAACUCUCCACCUCUCCUCGCUGCCCACGGGUCCACGACAGCCAAGCAGCCCCGGACUGGGAACCGUGCUCCUAGCAGAGGAAUUGGAAUCAGAGCCCUUGAAAUCAGCUGCCUUUCUCCUGCUGGUGAUGAAAACGGGUGCUUCAUGUGGUGGGGGGACAUAGCCGCCGGCUGGAGAAGCCUCCCCUGCCAGCGCUGGAGAACAAAGACUCGCAUCCGCUCUCGGUUACCUCCUGUCUAUAUAUAGAAAAUUAUUCAAACGAAUGACUUAUCAAACCCUGCACAGGGAAUAUCCUGAGACACGGUGACCUGGGUCUCAGGGCAAAGGCUCUCAGAGGCCGGCUACUGGCUGCAAGACUGCAUGAGUUUGCUUUAAAGGAAAACAAGCUCCCUGCGCCCCAACAUAUUCAAAAAGGCUGCAGGCAGUCCCAGAUAGAUCUUGUGCUCAUAACUCUGGGCAGCCUGCUGUUUUCCUCUUGUGCAAUACCCAAGCAUUGAGUUCAUGUUUAAAAAUAGGUGGAAACAAAAUGCAUUGACAUACUACCAUCAACUGC
rnacentral:lncRNA from 1 species